AAGCCGCGACCCUGGGGCGCGGGGCGUGCGGGGACCCCAGGGUCGGCCCGUGCCGGAGCAGCCUCGCGCGGGCUCCCGGGUCCCCCCGAACCUCGGACGUGUGCAAGGACCCUCGGGCCACCGCCUGGGUCCCUGGCACCUCAGCCCCCCAGCGGAGGGAAAAGGAGAUUGAGGAGGGGAAGAAGCAGUAAACAGCUCCAGCGUCCGGGCCUCGCCUCUGAGAGAGCCCCGCUCCCCAGGCCCUGCCGGCGGCCGGCGGGAUCCCCCGCUGUCCCCAGGGCCGCGCUUUCCCGGACCCGGAGCACCCGAGGAGAGUCCGGGCCUCUCCCCGGAUGGCUCUGGUGGCUCCUGAAGCGACCCGGGCAGCGGAGAACGGGGAAGUCAGGACUUACCUGUCAUUACUUUCUACGCCAUCUUGGAUCCACUUGUCAACGUCCCCACAAAGCAUUAUGGGGAUCUCGAAUGCCUCACAUCCAGCAGGUGAGCCAAGCCAUAUUUGAGGUGAAGAAUCUGGAAUCUUCCUAAGAACUUACCGAGGUUUUUAAUUUAUGGCUCUCAAAACAAGGUUCGGGCUAAAUGGAUGCUUCAGUCCAUGGCUGAGAGGUACCGCCUGCACCAGCAAAGAGGAAUGCUGAAGUUGGAGGAAGCCAUGAAGACCCUGGAGCUAGGCGAGUGUACUGAAUGAAGCCAGUUUCCAGUCAUUGUGUCUCCCACCUGGACACAGGUUAAGUUGUGGCCAGGGUUUGGUUCUGGCGUGAUUUUUAACUUUGUUACAUCCUAAUAUUCCUGGAUCCCUGCUGUGCAUUCUGAAGUGAACACCUCUUUUCCAAGAUUACUAUUCUAACUAAAUAAUACAAUUU
ensembl:processed_transcript